UUUGUGGAGAGUUUGAUCCUGGCUCAGGACGAACGCUGGCGGCGUGCUUAACACAUGCAAGUCGAACGGAAAGGCCCCUUCGGGGGUGCUCGAGUGGCGAACGGGUGAGUAACACGUGGGUGAUCUGCCUCGCACUCUGGGAUAAGCCUGGGAAACUGGGUCUAAUACUGGAUAGGACCGCGCUUUAGUGUGUGUGGUGGAAAGUUUUUUCGGUACGAGAUGAGCCCGCGGCCUAUCAGCUUGUUGGUGGGGUAAUGGCCUACCAAGGCGUCGACGGGUAGCCGGCCUGAGAGGGUGGACGGCCACAUUGGGACUGAGAUACGGCCCAGACUCCUACGGGAGGCAGCAGUGGGGAAUAUUGCACAAUGGGCGCAAGCCUGAUGCAGCGACGCCGCGUGAGGGAUGACGGCCUCGGGUUGUAAACCUCUUUCGACAGGGACGAAGCUUUUGUGACGGUACCUGUAUAAGAAGCACCGGCUAACUACGUGCCAGCAGCCGCGGUAAUACGUAGGGUGCGAGCGUUGUCCGGAAUUACUGGGCGUAAAGAGCUCGUAGGUGGUUUGUCGCGUCGUCUGUGAAAUUCCGGGGCUUAACUCCGGGCGUGCAGGCGAUACGGGCAUAACUUGAGUGCUGUAGGGGAGACUGGAAUUCCUGGUGUAGCGGUGGAAUGCGCAGAUAUCAGGAGGAACACCGAUGGCGAAGGCAGGUCUCUGGGCAGUAACUGACGCUGAGGAGCGAAAGCAUGGGGAGCGAACAGGAUUAGAUACCCUGGUAGUCCAUGCCGUAAACGGUGGGCGCUAGGUGUGAGGGUCUUCCACGACUUUCGUGCCGUAGCUAACGCAUUAAGCGCCCCGCCUGGGGAGUACGGCCGCAAGGCUAAAACUCAAAGGAAUUGACGGGGGCCCGCACAAGCGGCGGAGCAUGUGGAUUAAUUCGAUGCAACGCGAAGAACCUUACCUGGGCUUGACAUAUACAAGAUCGGCGUAGAGAUACGUUUUCCCUUGUGGUUUGUAUACAGGUGGUGCAUGGUUGUCGUCAGCUCGUGUCGUGAGAUGUUGGGUUAAGUCCCGCAACGAGCGCAACCCUUGUCUUAUGUUGCCAGCACGUGAUGGUGGGGACUCAUGAGAGACUGCCGGGGUUAACUCGGAGGAAGGUGGGGAUGACGUCAAAUCAUCAUGCCCCUUAUGUCCAGGGCUUCACACAUGCUACAAUGGUCGGUACAACGCGUUGCGAGCCUGUGAGGGUGAGCGAAUCGCUGAAAGCCGGCCUCAGUUCGGAUUGGGGUCUGCAACUCGACCCCAUGAAGUCGGAGUCGCUAGUAAUCGCAGAUCAGCAACGCUGCGGUGAAUACGUUCCCGGGCCUUGUACACACCGCCCGUCACGUCAUGAAAGUUGGUAACACCCGAAGCCCAUGGCCCAACCAGUUUCUGGGGGGAGUGGUCGAAGGUGGGAUCGGCGAUUGGGACGAAGUCGUAACAAGGUAGCCGUACCGGAAGGUGCGGCUGGAUCACCUCCUUU
rnacentral:rRNA from 1 species